UACGAAGGGGGCUAGCGUUGCUCGGAAUCACUGGGCGUAAAGCGCACGUAGGCGGUUUGGUAAGUCUUGUGUGAAAUCUUCGGGCUCAACUCGAAGUCUGCACGAGAAACUGCCGGGCUUGAGUAUGGGAGAGGUGAGUGGAAUUCCCGGUGUAGCGGUGAAAUUCGUAGAUAUCGAGAGGAACACCGGUGGCGAAAGCGGCGCGCUGGAUCCCUUCUGACGCUGAGGCGCGAAAGCCAGGGGAGCGAACGGG
rnacentral:rRNA from 1 species